rnacentral:tRNA from 1 species
GGAGAGGUAGCAUAGUCUGGCCUAAUGCGCGCGCCUGGAGAGCGCGUGAGCGGUUCCCGCUCCGUGGGUUCAAAUCCCACCCUCUCCG